GGGGAAUAUUGCACAAUGGGGGAAACCCUGAUGCAGCAACGCCGCGUGAGUGAAGAAGGCCUUCGGGUCGUAAAACUCUGUUGCCGGGGAAGAACAAGUGCCGUUCGAACAGGGCGGCGCCUUGACGGUACCCGGCCAGAAAGCCACGGCUAACUACGUGCCAGCAGCCGCGGUAAUACGUAGGUGGCAAGCGUUGUCCGGAAUUAUUGGGCGUAAAGCGCGCGCAGGCGGCUUCUUAAGUCUGAUGUGAAAUCUUGCGGCUCAACCGCAAGCGGUCAUUGGAAACUGGGAGGCUUGAGUGCAGAAGAGGAGAGUGGAAUUCCACGUGUAGCGGUGAAAUGCGUAGAGAUGUGGAGGAACACCAGUGGCGAAGGCGGCUCUCUGGUCUGUAACUGACGCUGAGGCGCGAAAGCGUGGGGAGCAAAC
rnacentral:rRNA from 1 species